rnacentral:rRNA from 1 species
AUUGAACGCUGGCGGCAUGCUUUACACAUGCAAGUCGAACGGUAACAGGUCUUCGGAUGCUGACGAGUGGCGAACGGGUGAGUAAUGUAUCGGAACGUGCCCAGUAGUGGGGGAUAGCCCGGCGAAAGCCGGAUUAAUACCGCAUACGACCUACGGGUGAAAGCGGGGGACUCGCAAGAGCCUCGCGCUAUUGGAGCGGCCGAUGUCAGAUUAGGUAGUUGGUGGGGUAAAAGCCUACCAAGCCGACGAUCUGUAGCUGGUCUGAGAGGACGACCAGCCACACUGGGACUGAGACACGGCCCAGACUCCUACGGGAGGCAGCAGUGGGGAAUUUUGGACAAUGGGCGCAAGCCUGAUCCAGCCAUGCCGCGUGCGGGAAGAAGGCCUCGGUUGUAA